rnacentral:rRNA from 1 species
AGUGAACGCUGGCGGUAGGCCUAACACAUGCAAGUCGAACGGCAGCACAGUAAGAGCUUGCUCUUACGGGUGGCGAGUGGCGGACGGGUGAGGAAUACAUCGGAAUCUACUUUUUCGUGGGGGAUAACGUAGGGAAACUUACGCUAAUACCGCAUACGACCUACGGGUGAAAGCAGGGGAUCUUCGGACCUUGCGCGAUUGAAUGAGCCGAUGUCGGAUUAGCUAGUUGGCGGGGUAAAGGCCCACCAAGGCGACGAUCCGUAGCUGGUCUGAGAGGAUGAUCCGCCACACUGGAACUGAGACACGGUCCAGACUCCUACGGGAGGCAGCAGGGGGGAAUAUUGGACAAUGGGCGCAAGCCUGAUCCAGCCAUACCGGGUGGGUGAAGAAGGCCUUCGGGUUGUAAAGCCCUUUUGUUGGGAAAGAAAAGCAGCAGGUUAAUACCCCGCUGUUCUGACGGUACCCAAAGAAUAAGCACCGGCUAACUUCGU